rnacentral:hammerhead_ribozyme from 1 species
AUCCAGAUGACGAGUCCCAAAUGGGACGAAACGCGCGUCAAACUGGAU